GAACACUGGCAGGUUAGCGGCCGUAUGAAAGGAAUGUGGAUGAAGGGCAAUCGACAGCACAGCGCAUGAAGAGCUCCCAGCGCGGCGCGAAAGUGAGAUCAAGCGAGAUGCAGUUGCAACCUGAAGCCCAGUCAGUGUAGAUUGGAGUUGGCAUUUGCUGUUGUUAUCUCGGUAGCAUCAAACCUGACCUUUUAUCCAAUGGCGUGCAUCUUUGAAGUAUGUGCUCUCCACAGGUUUUCUGUCUUCCAAAGGGCGAUAUGGUUAUCCUCUUGGUAAAGAAAGAGACACUUUUCUCAUAAAAUUCAACUACUCUUCAACUACUCUUUUCGGACUGCUCUUGUGUUUUGGAUUGCCUUAAAUUGCUCGAGUAUUUCAAGGUGACAGAGGCCCCAGGAGAGGGAGAGGCUGGCCUGGCGGUAGGCUGGCAGCAUGAAGCACCUAGCCAUCUCCAAGUGGCUCAGUCAGCUGGGUCUGCCGCAGUACUGCACUCUGUUUGACGACGACUAUGAUGGGGUGGAGGACCUGUUGCAUCUGAAUGAGCUGGAUCUGCUGGAGCUGGGCGUCCGUAACCACCUCCACCGCAUCCACCUCCUCACGAGCAUCCAGAUACUGCAGGAGAGCGAGAGGAGGAGAG